rnacentral:rRNA from 1 species
AUUGAACGCUGGCGGCAGGCUUAACACAUGCAAGUCGAGCGGGGGAAGGUAGCUUGCUACCGGACCUAGCGGCGGACGGGUGAGUAAUGCUUAGGAAUCUGCCUAUUAGUGGGGGACAACAUCUCGAAAGGGAUGCUAAUACCGCAUACGUCCUACGGGAGAAAGCAGGGGAUCUUCGGACCUUGCGCUAAUAGAUGAGCCUAAGUCGGAUUAGCUAGUUGGUGGGGUAAAGGCCUACCAAGGCGACGAUCUGUAGCGGGUCUGAGAGGAUGAUCCGCCACACUGGGACUGGGACACGGCCCAGACUCCUACGGGAGGCAGUAGUGGGGAAUAUUGGAAAAUGGGGGGAACCCUGAUCCAGCCAUGCCGCGUGUGUGAAGAAGGCCUUAUGGUUGUAAAGCACUUUAAGCGAGGAGGAGGCUACUUUAGUUAAUACCUAGAGAUAGUGGACGUUACUCGCAGAAUAAGCACCGGCUAACUCUGUGUCAGCCGCCGCAGUAA